rnacentral:rRNA from 1 species
UACGUAGGGUGCAAGCGUUAAUCGGAAUUACUGGGCGUAAAGCGUGCGUAGGCGGUUCGCUAAGUCGGUUGUGAAAUCCCUGGGCUUAACCUGGGAACUGCAGUCGAUACUGGCGAACUAGAAUGCGGUAGAGGGUGGCGGAACUCCGGGUGUAGCGGUGAAAUGCGUAGAUAUCCGGAAGAACACCGAUGGCGAAGGCAACCACCUGGGCCUGCAUUGACGCUGAGGUACGAAAGCGUGGGGAGCAAACAGG